GGACUGCGUGGUGGUUGGCUUUUAGACGUAUGCCGUGUUAGUCGAAGAGGAUGGCCUUAGUCCUGGUGUUGUCCAUGGCGCUCCUUCUUCCUUAGUGAGCGCGACCUCAUUUCCACGGGUGAACCCAGUCGGCUCCUUCGUGCGAAGAAGCAUCGCCUUCUGGGUCGCGCGACCUCGGCGAGGCGGAGUGGCAGCAGUGAUUCAGAGCGGUGGAAGGCGUUGUGGCGCGGUGCCAGCUGCACGAGAGGUUGGCGAUAACUUUCUGGCCCGACCUGGGCUGGACGGGCCAUGACCGUACACCCCCCGAUCCAAUAUCCUUCCACCCAUCCCUCCGCUGGUGGAGGACGCCGUGCAUGCGAGCAGGAGCCUAUUGUUGUUAUGGUCUAUAGUCGACGACACCUCCUUACCAAGUUGUAGUCGCUUGGUGAGGAUGAUCGUGUAUGUGUGUGUCGUGUGUGUUCCUCCUUCUGAAGAUUGUAUCCCUGAUGUCUUCUUCCUGUUCAAUGAAAUCGAACGCAAAAUUUCUUGCGUUUUCUUGAAAGAAAACUAAAAAACA